AAAUUAUUAGUUCUUUCUGUCUUUUGUACAUGCGGAAAAUUUUCUGUAGUCAGAAGCCAAGUUUUUUUCCUGAGCCUUGAAAUAUGAUUCUCAACGGAUUUCUUCAUCGUCAUAAGAGCAUAUCCAAAGCAAUCAAGAUAAACUAAUUCCCGCCAAUCAAAGAACGGACUUCAUUGUUCAAAUCCUUUGCCUCAACUUGAUAAGAGUCAAGCCCCCGUUGUGCUUUUUUUUAAGCAAUUCAACAAUGUGAUUUUUUUCUUUCAAUUAUGGCCGUCUUUAAAUUAUCAAACACUACUAUGAAAAACACCUCUCACAACAGUUGGAAAAGAGAUAAAACCACGUCUGACCACCCAUUGUGAGGUAAUGGGCAGUUGUAUGUAUGAUGUUUUUACAAUGGGCGUACGACAAUUGUGAUAAACUAGGUAGCGCGCUAUACAUCACAACUAUUAAAGUAAACAACUGUUGUGAUAUAAAGUGAAUGGUCAUGGUUUUUGUAACACCCCUAUUUCUCUAAGCAUGAGACCUAUGGAUAAUUAAUAGUUGUUAAGAGAAGUGUUAGAAAUUCUAAGGAAUUAGUUGGAAUAAGAAGGAGAUGGUUGGAAUUGAACCAAAUGGCAUAUUGGUAAAUAUGACAUAGUUGAAGGACAAAGUGGUACUUUGACCUAAGAAGAUUAGUUAUGUGUUUUAAUUCCUCUAACCUUGCAUUUUCAUCAUAUUAUCAUGGAGGAAUCAGAAUUGGGGGAGUGAAGUGGAGAGGAGGCGUGAGAGAGAGGAAGGAAGGAAAAAGGAGAAAGUUCAUUUUGAGCUCAAUCUCCAUCAUCUCAUCUUGCAUGCUACAAGGACAACUUCAAUACCUUGAUUCAUCAUCUUCUACUUUUGUUCUGGACAACUUCUUCCAUCAUCAAGUCAGAAUCUUCUUCACCAUCUUCAUCAAGUUCAGUUUUGAGGUGAGUUCCAUAGAUAGGAACUUGGGGUAGGAGAAUUGAGAAUUUUGGCAUGAAUUGGGGUUUUGGGGAUUGAUGAGAAAUUUAUGAAUUUCAUGUUGUUAGAUUAUGCAUGUGUAGUUUGUUUCUGCUAUAUAAAUGAAAUUGUAUGAUUUUGGAAUGAUAUUGGAAGUUUGGAA